UGGGGAAUCUUCCGCAAUGGACGCAAGUCUGACGGAGCGACGCCGCGUGGAUGAUGAAGGCCUUCGGGUUGUGAAGUCCUUUCGAAUGGGAAUAAGUGCAAUAGACGAAUAGUUCUAUUGUUUGACUGUACCAUAGGAAGAAGCUACGGCUAACUCUGUGCCAGCAGCCGCGGUAAUACAGAGGUAGCAAGCGUUGUCCGGAUUUACUGGGCGUAAAGGGAGUGUAGGCGGGCAUCUAAGUCAGAGGUGAAAUUUCGGGGCUCAACCCUGAACUUGCCUUCGAUACUGGGUGUCUUGAGUAUGGAAGAGGUCGAUGGAAUUCCUGGUGUAGCGGUGGAAUGCGUAGAUAUCAGGAGGAACGCCAAUAGCGAAAGCAGUCGACUGGGACAAUACUGACGCUGAAACUCGAAAGCAUGGGGAGCAAACAGG
rnacentral:rRNA from 1 species